rnacentral:tRNA from 1 species
AAGAAAGUGGCAGAGUGGUGAUGUGAAUGGCUUGAAACCAUUUUACGGGGGUUCGACUCCCUCUUUUCUCG